AAAGUAGGACACUCGACCUGGCAGUCAGUUACCGAAAUGAUAAUCACAAGUUUACACAAAAAAGCCUUAUAAUUAAAAAAAAAUGUUGUAUUACAAAAUAGUAUCUAUAACCAAAACAUGGUAACAACAAACAACAUAAACCAGAACAUGAACUAUUCAUAUUUAUACUGGCUCAACUGAUAUUCAAACCAGUUGAUGAGAAGUAUGAACUUGCGCAUCGUUCACUUUUGGAACCUCGUUAGUCGAUUUUACCACAAAUUGACCACACCCCAGCUCAGUAAGCGUUACAACUAUGUACACAUAUCUUGGUUUGGCUUUGGACUCACCCAAAGUCAGCUGGGAUAGGCUCCAGCGAAAAGUUCCUUUGGACUUAAUCAAAUCCGGCAAUGGGAUAAUGACACACGAGGACAAGCGCAUCUGCGUUGGGUGUGUCCUACACGGCACAUCGGCAGUCAGAGUGACAACUGCUUUGACUGCAACGCGGUCAGGACGAGUCUCAGGCAGAAGGAGGAAGAGGUGCCAUACGUGAAGAGCAAGCAAGCAGCAGACAGUGAAAAAUGACAGUGAGCAUUCCCGGCUGUAGGAGGACCAAAGGUGGAGCAUCAGGCUCUUAUUGGGAGUCUCGGCCAUCAGGAUUAUGAGAUCACAUACAGUAGCGACAGUCCCUGAAAUAUUUUGUUGAUUCUGGCACUGAACUGGAUCGUACUGGUCUGCACAUGACAGCUCAUGCCAAGAUUCCAACCAGGAGUUAAGGAGAACCACACGGUGGAGAAACACAACACGGCACUUUGGUCUUUCCCGCAGACUGCAGAUGCUCUCCAUAUUCUACAACCAGAAACUGAGGCAACGUCGAUUUGGGAUCAGCUCCAAAUUGGAGAUAACACGUUCUAUGUUUGUAUGCCAGAUGAUGGCGGCCAGAUUGAUAAAACCACCUUUCAUUGUUGUUUGAUUUAGCGUUGCAUCACAGAUUAAAAGUGUUCAUGGCAGGACUCCUGAAACAAGAACUGUACCUCCUUGUAAAAAAACAACAUUUUGAUUUACGGGUUUGUUUUCUCUCGGUACAUAGGAUGGGCUGUUUUUAAUUUCUUGUGGGGACAGCAUAGCUUUGAUGCUGCUAUUUAAUUGCACGGCAACCUUAAUUCAAAGUGGAUUCGUUCUGUUGACUCGAUCAGAAGAAAUUAAGUUAGUGGAACUCAGCUUGGAGGUUUCAGAGUCGAUGAUCCUGUCGGUCCAAGUUGGGGGUUAUCGAUUGUGAACUCAUUCUUUGCAUUUUCUUUGAUUACAUCACGGCACUUCUUUUUGUGUCUUUGCCAUUAGGGCAAAUAAAGACAGGCAGAGACACAGGUGGCCUUUCCUGGAGGUCAUACUAUCAACGUACAUCACAUUGAUACUCACUAAAUUAUAGCAAUGUGUCUAGAGGAUUUAUGGCUGAACUAAAAAUCCCCUAUUGCAUCACAUUGAGCACAUGUUGAAUUAUGUCGCUGCUACUUGGUGCACGGCUGAAACAUGUCGGCUGCUGAGGUGAAAUGUGCUGGUUUUAGCUCUGCUAAAAUGUAUUGACACAGUCAUGGAUGCAUAUGGGAAGACUUGCAAGAUGGGGCUUGUCAGUGGGAUUAUACGCCACAUGAGCAAUGGGUUUCUAAAUGUGUGAUCUGCAGAGUGGAAGUGAUCUCAGCAGGGGUUAGUUUGCUGACCGAGGUGCGACAUCAAGCCCAGGCCCUCGCUAAAUUAAAUAUUAGUCGGGUAAAGUAUCAAUUAUGCACGUCAUGGACUUUUCUAGUAUUGUUCCCAAGUUCUGGCGCCAUCUAGCGGCCAACAUGUUCAAUAGCGUUCAGACGGCAUAAACCUUUUCUGUAAUAAAACUAUUAAAACUGUGAACAUACUGAUAUAUUCGAAUUAAAACAUUCUAGAUGAUAGAUUAACAGAGAAAUGGCAGAUUGUACACAUUAUAUUGCUGAUU